GUCCUUUAGGUAGGGUGGUCCUGCUUCUUCUUGUGGUGUAUGCUGGUACUUCAUCAUCGUCGUCAUGUUCCAUCUUCGGGUCGCCGUACUUGUCGAAGUCUUGCUCAUUGGCGACUCCAUCCAUUCCGAUGAUCUUCCUUUUGCCUCUCCUCACGACAACACGAUUGGGCUUUGGCGGGUCGGUAAUGAAGAAGCAUUGGUCCACUUGGGAAGCCAGUACCCAUGGCUCAUUUUUCACGGUGACGUUUGCGCCCGCGGUCUUGGAUUUGGCUUCGGGUAUAACCAUGGUGGUGAAAUACCGGUCUUCU
rnacentral:lncRNA from 1 species